rnacentral:lncRNA from 1 species
UGGGAUUGUGAUUUACGAAAAGUGUUUUGUUUGGAGCGCAGACUGCGCCUUGCGGCUUGCGCAGCUAAACUCCAUAGCCCACAAAAUAUACUCAUUAAUUUGCCCUGAAGGCUGAAGCUAACGCCCGCGUCCCAUUGGCAUUAGGGACAGCAGUGAUAUGUGGAACAGUAAAUGGUACUGGACAAAUCAUUGAAAUUGUCUGUCCUCAACUUGAGCAGCCUCGUGAAUAUGUCUGUUGUGGCUAUGGACCAGAUGCUUACCACUGCUGCUUUGACCCAGAGGUUGUUGUGCAUGAUCUGGCCAUGCUGCUGUGGGUGCUGGCCGGCAUAGUGCUGGCUGUGCUGCUGGUCUGCAUCUGCGUUUUGUGCUGCUGCUUCUGCCCCUUCUGCCUCAUUGCUAAACGACGUAACCGAGCACGCCUUACUAGAGGUGCUGCUGAGGUAGCCAUAGUCAUGCCUACUCAAAAUGAUGUCCAGCUGCGGCAGCAGCCCUACCCUCAGCAACCCUCCCCUCAGCAGGACUUCCCUUAACAACCAUCCCCUCAGCAUCCAUGCCCUCAGCAGCCAUGCGCUCAGCAGCUCUACCCUCAGCAGGCCUACCCUCAGCAACUGUCCCCUCAGCAACCCUCCCCUCAGCAGCACUUCCCUUAACAACCAUGCGCUCAGCAGCACUACCCUCUACUGCUCUACCCUCAGCAGCCGUGCCCUCACCAGCCAUGAACAUACAACCUGUCCACCCCGAACUCCCAUGAAUUUUUUUUUUUUCCGGACCAAAAAUACCCUCAAAAACCCUCUCCUCUGAAAUUUAUUAUGCCCUUAACUUUUUUGGUCAUUUCUUUUUCAGCUUUCAGGCAACUUUGUGUCGCUCCAUGUUUUCUUCACUCUCCUUCUUGCUACCAUCAUCACCACAACCUUAAUUACUACCUCCACUACCAUUUGAAACCAUGCUCCCAUACACUGAAGAUAAUUCUUUGCAAAUCUAGUGUUUAAAAUAAUAUAUAUGAUAGAACCGUUCCUUCAUUGGAUAUGAAGUCCAUGCCAAUUUCUAUUAUAUAUGCACUAUUAUGUCACACUACAUAGUACGCAGUGGUGGGCACAGCUAACCUAAAAGUUAGCUU